rnacentral:rRNA from 1 species
UACGGGGGGGGUAAGCGUUGUUCGGAAUUACUGGGCGUAAAGGGCUCGUAGGCGGCCAACUAAGUCAUACGUGAAAUCCCUCAGCUUAACUGGGGAACUGCGUGUGAUACUGGAUGGCUUGGAUGUGGGAGAGGGUAGUGGAAUUCCCGGUGUAGUGGUGAAGUGCGUAGAUAUCGGGAGGAACACCAGUGGCGAAGGCGACUACCUGGCCUGUUUCUUGACGCUGAGGCGCGAAAGCUAGGGGAGCAAACGGG